rnacentral:rRNA from 1 species
GGUUAAGCGACUAAGCGUACACGGUGGAUGCCCUGGCAGUCAGAGGCGAUGAAGGACGUGCUAAUCUGCGAUAAGCGUCGGUGAGGUGAUAUGAACCGUUAUAACCGGCGAUUUCCGAAUGGGGAAACCCAGUGUGUUUCGACACACUAUCAUUAACUGAAUCCAUAGGUUAAUGAGGCGAACCGGGGGAACUGAAACAUCUAAGUACCCCGAGGAAAAGAAAUCAACCGAGAUUCCCCCAGUAGCGGCGAGCGAACGGGGAGGAGCCCAGAGCCUGAAUCAGUGUGUGUGUUAGUGGAAGCGUCUGGAAAGGCGCGCGAUACAGGGUGACAGCCCCGUACACAAAAAUGCACAUAUUGUGAGCUCGAUGAGUAGGGCGGGACACGUGGUAUCCUGUCUGAAUAUGGGGGGACCAUCCUCCAAGGCUAAAUACUCCUGACUGACCGAUAGUGAACCAGUACCGUGAGGGAAAGGCGAAAAGAACCCCGGCGAGGGGAGUGAAAAAGAACCUGAAACCGUGUACGUACAAGCAGUGGGAGCCUCUUAAUGGGGUGACUGCGUACCUUUUGUAUAAUGGGUCAGCGACUUAUAUUCUGUAGCAAGGUUAACCGAAUAGGGGAGCCGAAGGGAAACCGAGUCUUAACUGGGCGUUAAGUUGCAGGGUAUAGACCCGAAACCCGGUGAUCUAGCCAUGGGCAGGUUGAAGGUUGGGUAACACUAACUGGAGGACCGAACCGACUAAUGUUGAAAAAUUAGCGGAUGACUUGUGGCUGGGGGUGAAAGGCCAAUCAAACCGGGAGAUAGCUGGUUCUCCCCGAAAGCUAUUUAGGUAGCGCCUCGUGAAUUCAUCUCCGGGGGUAGAGCACUGUUUCGGCAAGGGGGUCAUCCCGACUUACCAACCCGAUGCAAACUGCGAAUACCGGAGAAUGUUAUCACGGGAGACACACGGCGGGUGCUAACGUCCGUCGUGAAGAGGGAAACAACCCAGACCGCCAGCUAAGGUCCCAAAGUCAUGGUUAAGUGGGAAACGAUGUGGGAAGGCCCAGACAGCCAGGAUGUUGGCUUAGAAGCAGCCAUCAUUUAAAGAAAGCGUAAUAGCUCACUGGUCGAGUCGGCCUGCGCGGAAGAUGUAACGGGGCUAAACCAUGCACCGAAGCUGCGGCAGCGACACUAUGUGUUGUUGGGUAGGGGAGCGUUCUGUAAGCCUGUGAAGGUGGCCUGUGAGGGUUGCUGGAGGUAUCAGAAGUGCGAAUGCUGACAUAAGUAACGAUAAAGCGGGUGAAAAGCCCGCUCGCCGGAAGACCAAGGGUUCCUGUCCAACGUUAAUCGGGGCAGGGUGAGUCGACCCCUAAGGCGAGGCCGAAAGGCGUAGUCGAUGGGAAACAGGUUAAUAUUCCUGUACUUGGUGUUACUGCGAAGGGGGGACGGAGAAGGCUAUGUUGGCCGGGCGACGGUUGUCCCGGUUUAAGCGUGUAGGCUGGUUUUCCAGGCAAAUCCGGAAAAUCAAGGCUGAGGCGUGAUGACGAGGCACUACGGUGCUGAAGCGACAAAUGCCCUGCUUCCAGGAAAAGCCUCUAAGCAUCAGGUAACAUCAAAUCGUACCCCAAACCGACACAGGUGGUCAGGUAGAGAAUACCAAGGCGCUUGAGAGAACUCGGGUGAAGGAACUAGGCAAAAUGGUGCCGU